AGAGUUUGAUCCUGGCUCAGGACGAACGCCGGCGGUGUGCCUAAUACAUGCAAGUCGUACGCACUGGCCCAACUGAUUGAUGGUGCUUGCACCUGAUUGACGUUGGAUCACCAGUGAGUGGCGGACGGGUGAGUAACACGUAGGUAACCUGCCCCGGAGCGAGGGAUAACAUUUGGAAACAGAUGCUAAUACCGCAUAACAACAAAAGCCACAUGGCUUUUGUUUGAAAGAUGGCUUUAGCUAUCACUCUGGGAUGGACCUGCGGUGCAUUAGCUAGUUGGUAAGGUAACGGCUUACCAAGGCGAUGAUGCAUAGCCGAGUUGAGAGACUGAUCGGCCACAAUGGAACUGACACACGGUCCAUACUCCUACGGGAGGCAGCAGUAGGGAAUCUUCCACAAUGGGCGCAAGCCUGAUGGAGCAACACCGCGUGAGUGAAGAAGGGUUUCGGCUCGUAAAGCUCUGUUGUUGGAAAAGAACGUGCGUGAGAGUAAACUGUUUCCGCAGUUGACGGUAUCCAACCAGAAA
rnacentral:rRNA from 1 species